rnacentral:rRNA from 1 species
CCUACGGGAUGCACCAGUGGGGAAUAUUGCACAAUGGGCGCAAGCCUGAUGCAGCCAUGCCGCGUGUAUGAAGAAGGCCUUCGGGUUGUAAAGUACUUUCAGCGGGGAGGAAGGCGAUAAGGUUAAUAACCUUGUCGAUUGACGUUACCCGCAGAAGAAGCACCGGCUAACUCCGUGCCAGCAGCCGCGGUAAUACGGAGGGUGAAAGCGUUAAUCGGAAUUACUGGGCGUAAAGCGCACGCAGGCGGUCUGUCAAGUCGGAUGUGAAAUCCCCGGGCUCAACCUCGGAAUUGCAUUUGAAACUGGCAGGCUAGAGUCUUGUAGAGGGGGGUAGAAUUUCAGGUGUAGCGGUGAAAUGCGUAGAGAUCUGAAGGAAUACCAGUGGCGAAGGCGGCCCCCUGGACAAAGACUGACGCUCAGAUGCGAAAGCGUGGGGAGCAAACAGGAUUAGAUACCCCAGUAGUC